rnacentral:rRNA from 1 species
UACGAAGGAGGCUAGCGUUGUUCGGAAUUACUGGGCGGAAAGGGCGCGUAGGCGGCCCUGUCAGUCAGAAGUGAAAGCCCCGGGCUCAACCUGGGAAUUGCUUUUGAUACUGCGGGGCUUUAGUUCCGGAGAGGUGGGUGGAAUUCCCAGUGUAGAGGUGAAAUUCGUAGAUAUUGGGAAGAACACCGGUGGCGAAGGCGGCCCACUGGACGGACACUGACGCUGAGGCGCGAAAGCGUGGGGAGCAAACAGG